CCUACGGGUUGCAGCAGUGGGGAAUAUUGGACAAUGGGGGCAACCCUGAUCCAGCCAUGCCGCGUGUGUGAAGAAGGCCUUUUGGUUGUAAAGCACUUUAAGCAUGGAGGAGAGGCUAAUGGUGAAUACCCAUUAGAUUAGACGUUACCUGCAGAAUAAGCACCGGCUAACUCUGUGCCAGCAGCCGCGGUAAUACAGAGGGUGCGAGCGUUAAUCGGAAUUACUGGGCGUAAAGCGAGUGUAGGUGGCUCAUUAAGUCACAUGUGAAAUCCCCGGGCUUAACCUGGGAACUGCAUGUGAUACUGGUGGUGCUAGAAUAUGUGAGAGGGAAGUAGAAUUCCAGGUGUAGCGGUGAAAUGCGUAGAGAUCUGGGGGAAUACCGAUGGCGAAGGCAGCUUCCUGGCAUAAUAUUGACACUGAGAUUCGAAAGCGUGGGUAGCAAACAGGAUUAGAUACCCCCGUAGUC
rnacentral:rRNA from 1 species